rnacentral:rRNA from 1 species
GACGAACGCUGGCGGCGUGCUUAACACAUGCAAGUCGAGCGGUAAGGCCCUUUCGGGGGUACACGAGCGGCGAACGGGUGAGUAACACGUGGGUGACCUGCCCUCAGCUCUGGGAUAAGCCCGGGAAACUGGGUCUAAUACCGGAUAUGACUCCAUGACGCAUGUUGUGGGGUGGAAAGCCUUGUGCGGCUGAGGAUGGGCCCGCGGCCUAUCAGCUUGGUUGGUGGGGUGAUGGCCACCAA